CUGAAGGGUCACCUCCUGCAGAGACAUUCCCUGGGAAGCAGUGCUGCCCAAAGCCGUUGUAGAUGUCUGCUUCAGGGUGUGUGAGACAAAGUCUUUAGGUUACACAAGCAGGAAAUUUGCUUUGGCUCAAUAGCUCUGUUACAGGAAAAGGAAAGUGAAAGUUAUUAAGGGGGAAAGCGUUAUACAUCUAAGUUGUGGAGAAAGCAGAUUCAUGCCAGAAAGACUUAAGGUAAACAACUUACCUGAUGAGAAAGUGGAGGACAAACUCAAAUAUUGAAAUUGCAUAGGAGAGGAAUCAUCAUGUUCACUGUGUACAGUUACUAGACUUUUCAAGAAACAAGGAAAUUGAGGUGAAAGCAGAAGUUGCAACUGUCAAACCCAAUGUUACUGCUUUGGAUCAAUUGCAGAGAUUAGUGGGUUUAACUGUUAGAUAAAGAAUCUAAUAAAGACUGACCUGUAUAUUGAGGAUACACUUCUUGACACUAUUUGGCAGAUACAUGCUAGAUCCCAAACACAUUGUAGCAUUAGGCGCUUGUAUUAGCCUGGAUAUAUGUAAUCUAAGUAUCCACAGUGGCUGUGCUAGGUCAGAACAAGGAUCCUGCAGCCCUGAGUUUUUUCUUCACAGUGAUUAUAGGCCAGGAAUAGGAAGCACUUCCCAUGAAUACCGACCUGGGUGCUAACUACAUUUAGUUUGGGGGAUUUCCUGAGGUACAUACAUUUUCUCUAUAUUUACAAGCCAAAUAAUAGAUCUCUGCUCUGAAUUUUGUUUAGCAUUCUCUUGAAUUCAUGUCAACUUCAAGCAGCCAAUAUAUUUUGGCAAAGUUCAGCAAAUCUCUAAAGAAAACUCAGUAAAGGUGACAGAAGACCUUGCAGUUUUUCCAGUGAUGCAAUGAAACCUGCAAGUUUCAUCCUGCUGGCAAUAAAAUCAGCUAUAUGUCAAACA